UUCCAGCUCCAAUAGCGUAUAUUAAAGUUGUUGUGGUUAAAAAGCUCGUAGUUGGAUUUCUGGUGAGUUCGUUUGGCCGGCCGUAAAGGUCUGUGCCGAAAUGUUAUUCGCCAUCCUUGGUGUAAUCUUGUCCGCCAUUAAGUUGUGUGGGCUUGAGGAUGCCAUCGUUUACUGUGAAAAAAUUAGAGUGUUCAAAGCAGGCUUAUGCCGUUGAAUACAUUAGCAUGGAAUAAUAAGAUAGGACCCUGGUACUAUUUUGUUGGUUUGCGUACCUAGGUAAUGAUUAAUAGGGACAGUUGGGGGUAUUUGUAUUCCGUUGUCAGAGGUGAAAUUCUUGGAUUUAUUAAAGACUAACUUAUGCGAAAGCAUUUGCCAAGGAUGUUUUCAUUG
rnacentral:rRNA from 1 species